rnacentral:rRNA from 1 species
AGCCUUUGCAGCUGGAAACAGUAAGCUGAGCGACUCAAAAUAAUUCCAGCCCUAUGCAAGUCAGCGCAUUUGCUGGCGACACUUUCGAAUUGACGGGGACACCCUAAAGCCCUUCCCACCAAACCAGCCGGGGAAACUCGAUGGCGGCCCGUGAGAAAUUACGGGGUAUGGUAAUAGAGGAAGGGAUACAGCAAUGGGCGAUCCGCAGCGAAGCUCCUACGGCUGCCAGCAGUUUUGCUUGGGCUAUGGAGAACGUUCACAGACUAAGUGGAAGUGGGUGGAGCUGCAAAGCUCUGCUUAAGAUAUAGUCGGGCUCUUAAGGAAACUUAAGGGGGUAUGCUUAACCGUUCCGUAGGUGAACCUGCGGAAGGAUCAUUACUGUGGGUCUUCUUAGGAAGCCCGCGAGAUAGCACCCUUUGCUUUUACGAGUACCUUGUUUCCUCGGCGGGCUUGCCCGCCAUUGGGGACUCUAUUAAACCUUUUGCAAUAGCAGUAAACGUCUGAUACUAUAACAAAUCGUUACAACUUUCAACAAUGGAUCUCUUGGUUCUGGCAUCGAUGAAGAACGCAGCGAAAUGCGAUAAGUAGUGUGAAUUGCAGAAUUCAGUGAAUCAUCGAAUCUUUGAACGCACAUUGCGCCCCUUGGUAUUCCAUGGGGCAUGCCUGUUCGAGCGUCAUUUUAAAUCUCAAGCACUGCUUGGUGUUGGGUGUUUGUCCCGCCUACCGCGCGUGGACUCGCCUUAAAGGCAUUGGCAGCCGGUCACAUUGGCUCGGAGCGCAGCAGAUGUAGCGCGUCGAAGCCGGUAGUGGUGGCAUCCAGAAGCUUUUUCUUCUAAGUUUGACCUCGGAUCAGGUAGGGAUACCCGCUGAACUUAAGCAUAUCAAUAAGCGGAGGAAAAGAAACCAACAGGGAUUGCCCUAGUAACGGCGAGUGAAGCGGCAACAGCUCAAAUUUGAAAUCUGACUUCUUUUAGGAGUCCGAGUUGUAAUUUGCAGAGGGCGCUUUGGCGUUGGCAGCGGUCUAAGUUCCUUGGAACAGGACGUCACAGAGGGUGAGAAUCCCGUACGUGGUCGCAUGCCCUCGCCGUGUAAAGCCCCUUCGACGAGUCGAGUUGUUUGGGAAUGCAGCUCUAAAUGGGAGGUAAAUUUCUUCUAAAGCUAAAUACUGGCCAGAGACCGAUAGCGCACAAGUAGAGUGAUCGAAAGAUGAAAAGCACUUUGGAAAGAGAGUCAAAUAGCACGUGAAAUUGUUGAAAGGGAAGCGCUUGCAGCCAGACUUGCUUGCAGUUGCUCAUCCGGGCUUUUGCCCGGUGCACUCUUCUGUAGGCAGGCCAGCAUCAGUUUAAGCGACUGGAUAAAGGCCUCUGUCAUGUAUUAUCCUUCGGGAUAGCCUUAUAGGGGAGUCGUAAUGCAGCCAGUUUGAACUGAGGUCCGC